GCAUCAGUGGUUUAGUGGUAAAAUCCAUCGUUGCCAUUUGUGGUGAGAAUCACACUCGAUGGGCCCCGCGUUCGAUUCGCGGCUGAUGCA